GUAAGAUUAGUUUAAUGGUAAAACAACGUCUUGUGGCGACGAUAUUUGGAGUUCAAGUCUCUGAUUUUACC
rfam:Crinipellis perniciosa mitochondrion, complete genome.